rnacentral:lncRNA from 1 species
GACAGACAAAAAAAAAUUGAGUAAAAGGUAAGCGUCCAUGGUAGAUUGAUUGCCUCUAGCGUGCAAGAUAUUCCCAAAUUGUUGGAUUUCAUUUUCCAAAAGCACCCAACUCUUAGAGAACUGGGCAUCUUAUGUCAUAUGGACGACAUAAAACGCAAUCAAUAGGUACUUGGUAGUAACAAGUAUCAAGAAUUAUAGGUUUCCCGCAGCCUUCAAGGAGCUCCAAUGCCUCACAUUUGAAGCAACCUUUGACACCAUUUGAUCUGGGAAGACUAUUAGUGCUAUACAAACACCAUAUCACAGUCCAAGGACAACAUAAAAAGGAAAUGAAAGGACAGCAAAAAUGUAAUUGCAUAGAAUCAAAUAGAGCCAUCAGUUUGCCCAAUUUUGAGAGGUUGGGAUACGAAAGCAGAUGCAAAUAGCAAACAUCCGAACAAGGAUUAUAUCCAUAACAAGGUGCAACCAAAAAAACUGGAUGCACA